AAAGAAAUUGGGGCUGAUGCUGUGUGUAGGUGAAAAGAAAACGUGUGUGGUUGAGUGGGUUUUUUUUUUAAGGGGGGUCUUUUUUAUAUUCAUUUUCUUUUUAAAGGAAGGAAAGGGAUACGGUUUUUUUUUUUUCCGUGUGUGUGUUUUUAGUGGUUUUCUUUUUGACUUACCUGCUCUUCCUGUGUUUUCUCGUGUAAGGGAUGAAUGAAGGUUAAUGUGGGAAGAUAGUUUUUUUUUUCUCUCUCUCUCUCUCCCUCUCUUUCUCUCUUUCAAUUUCUUUUUAUUUUCCUUUUUUAUCGUCAGUUUCAUUUUCUCUCCCCCUCCGUUUGCUUCCUCGUUUUGAUUUUGGCCUUUCCUGUUUAUUUUUUCAGGUUAAUUAGAAGCUGGAUCAUUUCAUCUCUCAUUAGCACAGUGCCAGAUGCAGAAACUCAAUCAGCCAGCCAGCCAAACAACCAACACACGCAUUCACACCACCACCACCACCACCACCACCACCACCACCAUCAUCA